ensembl:lncRNA
GCUACCAACCUUUGGUGGUAUAAAUGACUGGUGAGAACUGGUUAAAAUCUUUUCAUUCUAAUGGAACUGUGAAGUUCUCAAAGCUGAUGAAAAUGGUCAAGAAGAGCCACAUCUGAGAGUCAGAAAUCUACUGAGAAUUUUUGAUAAGCACAGCUAUGUCUGGAGAGGAGCUACAUGUAACAAGCUCCUUGUUUAGUUAAGGGAUACAGAGAAUUUUCAUCAAAAUGCAGCAUUUCCAUUUAACUUCACCCUCUGAAGAGAACUGUUUUUCACUGAAAAAAGAAGUUAUAAAGGAAACAAUCUGCUCUUAAACUCAACAUGAGGAAACUGAGGCCUGAAUCUGCAGCUACGUAACUCUGCUUGCACAAACACUUCCAGUGCUUUCAACAAAGAUCUUCACACAGCAGAAUUACUCACAUGGAUAAUUGCUCCUGAGAUCAGGCAAUCUGGGUUAGUUAGUGAAAUAAGGGCACUAAAUCAUUUUCUAAUCUAUAUUGUUCUUUUUGACUGCCAAAGUGCUAGCUGUAUUUAUUUUUUAUAAUCCUGAUAAGGAAACAUUCCUAAAACAUUAGCAAAAAAAAUCCAGCGUGAGUGAGAGGACAAAGUGAAACAAACAUCUCUCAGCCUUCCUCUGCUGUCGCUGAUCUUUAAAUAGCAAACUUGAGCCUCUGUCAAAGCACGCUUUGGGUGGUUGUACAGCAAGUAGCUCCACGAGAUGGGAUUGGAAAAUCCUUCAAGGCCCUUAAUCAGCAGGCUCUGGCUCUUUGAGCUCUUCCCUGCUCCUGCCUUUGGAAGGAGUCGUGCCUGAGAACGUUUAAUCCGCGGCGACCCUGAGCGCUGUCCCUCGGGGAGCUCCCUCCUCUUGUUAUCGUGCGUUGGCCGUGUCAGAGAUACCAGGUUGCUUCAUUCUCAUCCACCACGGGGCAAAAAUCUUCCAAACACUCAGGAAGGCUCUGCAGGAAUACUGGGAUCGCAUCUUCCGGAGGAGUUUUGUUGGAUGUGAGUAAUUUGCUGUGGCAAUGUGCUGAUGGAGAGUGUGGGGCUGCUCCUUUCCCUUUAAUGGUUUAUCCACAUGGGGCAGUAGCAGGGGAAAAACUCCAGAGCCUUGUAGGAGAAAUGCUCCUGCCUUUAAGUUGUGGUGAGACCAUUGAUCAUGCUGCUGAUAAAGCAGCUUAGGCUGUGACAAGCAAUUGGCCGCUGCAGUGUUUGCAGGGAGACAUCAAGGCUUUGGAACACAACCCUUGGGCUUAAAAUAGCAAAACUCCCUUUGAGAAGGAGCCCUUACAAUGUGUGUUCCUUAAAUAGACCCACAACCAAGAAAAUAAACCCCGUUUUACACGGGCCA